rnacentral:rRNA from 1 species
UACAGAGGGUGCAAGCGUUAAUCGGAAUUACUGGGCGUAAAGCGUGCGUAGACGGUUAUGUAAGUCGGGUGUGAAAGCCCCGGGCUCAACCUGGGAAUGCCAUUCGAGACUGCAUAGCUAGGGUGCGGAAGAGGGAAGCGGAAUUCCAGGUGUAGCGGUGAAAUGCGUAGAUAUCUGGAGGAACACCGGUGGCGAAGGCGGCAUCCUGGACCGACACUGACGCUGAGGAGCGAAAGCCAGGGGAGCAAACGGG